rnacentral:lncRNA from 1 species
CAGGUACUUGGCGGCUAUUGUUGGAGUCGGCAUCUACUAUAGAUAGUGAGGAGGUGCUGAGAGACUCUCUAAUAUAUCCAAGGAGGCUCAGGGGCUAAUAGGAGGGUUCGUGAAUGCAGAUUUCAGUGGAGAUGUGGAUACUUGACGGUUGAUGAUAAAUUUUGUAUUUAACCUAUUUGGAAGUCCUGUUUUAUGGAGAUCAUGUCUUCAGCCCAUCA